rnacentral:rRNA from 1 species
GACGGGGGGUCCUAGCGUUGUUCGGAAUCAUUGGGCGUAAAGCGUGUGCAGGCUGUUCGAUAAGUUGGAUGUGAAAGCCUUGGGCUCAACCCAAGAAGUGCAUUCAAAACUAUCAGACUUGAGUACGGAAGAGGAUCGUGGAAUUCCUAGUGUAGUGGUGAAAUACGUAGAUAUUAGAGGAACACCGGUUGCGAAGGCGGCGAUCUGGUCCAGUACUGACGCUCAUACACGAAAGCGUGGGGAUCAAACAUG